rnacentral:rRNA from 1 species
GAUGAACGCUGGCGGCGUGCCUAAUACAUGCAAGUCGAGCGAACGGACGAGAAGCUUGCUUCUCUGAUGUUAGCGGCGGACGGGUGAGUAACACGUGGAUAACCUACCUAUAAGACUGUGAUAACUUCGGGAAACCGGAGCUAAUACCAGAUAAUAUUUUGAACCGCAUGGUUCAAAAGUGAAAGACGGUCUUGCUGUCGCUUAUAGAUGGAUCCGCGCUGCAUUAGCUAGUUGGUAAGGUAACGGCUUACCAAGGCAACGAUGCAUAGCCGACCUGAGAGGGUGAUCGGCCACACUGGAACUGAGACACGGUCCAGACUCCUACGGGAGGCAGCAGUAGGGAAUCUUCCGCAAUGGGCGAAAGCCUGACGGAGCAACGCCGCGUGAGUGAUGAAGGUCUUCGGAUCGUAAAACUCUGUUAUUAGGGAAGAACAUAUGUGUAAGUAACUGUGCACAUCUUGACGGUACCUAAUCAGAAAGCCACGGCUAACUACGUG